AUCUAAGGGCAUAACACCCUGAUCUCGGAAGUUAAGCAGGGCCAGGCCUGGCCAGUACUGUGAUGGGAAACCGCCUGGGAAUACUGGGUGCUGUAGGCU
ensembl:rRNA 5S_rRNA 5S ribosomal RNA